rnacentral:rRNA from 1 species
AACGAACGCUGGCGGCAGGCCUAAAACAUGCAAGUCGAACGCUGUAGCAAUACAGAGUGGCGCACGGGUGAGUAACACGUGGGAAUGUGCCUUUUGGUACGGAACAACUUUUGGAAACGAAAGCUAAUACCGUAUGGUCCCUUCGGGGUAAAGAUUUAUCGCCAAAAGAGCAGCCCGCGUCUGAUUAGCUAGUUGGUAGGGUAAUGGCCUACCAAGGCGACGAUCAGUAGCUGGUCUGAGAGGACGAUCAGCCACACUGGGACUGCGACACGGCCCAGACUCCGACGGGAGGCAGCAGUUAGGAAUAUUGGACAAUGGGCGCAAGCCUGAUCCAGCCAUGCCGCGUGAGUGAUGAAGGCCUUCGGGUUGUAAAGCUCUUUAGUCCACGAAUAUAAUGACUGUAGUGGAAGAAUAAGCCCCGGCUAACUUCGUGCCAGCAGCCGCAGUAAGAC